rnacentral:lncRNA from 1 species
UAUAUAUUGGACGUGGGACCCACGAGUGCGAAAAGUUCGGGAAAAUUCGGCCAAUACGGUUAAGUUUCGGAUACUGUGGAAAAGUUAUCGGAUGUUACGAGAUAAGUAGAGAGUGAGAUUUGAUUGAUGUGAGAGAGAAAAGAAAGGAUAGGAAUGCAUUUAUUAGAGUGCCAAGUGUCAAUUUUCCAUUGGUUUGACUUUAAGAGUUACUAUUCACUAUUUUGACCUUUGACCAAAAUUGGUUAAAUAUCUCCAAAAAUUCACAAAAUUCACCAUUUUCUUCCCUUGUGUUG